GACGAACCGUGCGAACGUUGUUCGGAAUCACUGGGCUUAAAGGGCGCGUAGGCGGUUUCUCAAGUCCGGGGUGAAAGCUUUCGGCUUAACCGGAAAAGGGCCUUGGAUACUGAGAAGCUGGAGGGAGGUAGGGGCCGUUGGAACUUCCAGUGGAGCGGUGAAAUGCGUUGAUAUUGGAAGGAACUCCGGUGGCGAAAGCGAACGGCUGGAUCUCUUCUGACGCUGAGGCGCGAAAGCCAGGGGAGCGAACGGG
rnacentral:rRNA from 1 species